rnacentral:rRNA from 1 species
GAUGAACGCUGGCGGCGUGCCUAAUACAUGCAAGUCGAGCGAACGGACGAGAAGCUUGCUUUUCUGAUGUUAGCGGCGGACGGGUGAGUAACACGUGGAUAACCUACCUAUAAGACUGGGAUAACUUCGGGAAACCGGAGCUAAUACCGGAUAAUAUUUUGAACCGCAUGGUUCAAAAGUGAAAGACGGUCUUGCUGUCACUUAUAGAUGGAUCCGCGCUGCAUUAGCUAGUUGGUAAGGUAACGGCUUACCAAGGCAACGAUGCAUAGCCGACCUGAGAGGGUGAUCGGCCACACUGGAACUGAGACACGGUCCAGACUCCUACGGGAGGCAGCAGUAGGGAAUCUUCCGCAAUGGGCGAAAGCCUGACGGAGCAACGCCGCGUGAGUGAUGAAGGUCUUCGGAUCGUAAAACUCUGCUAUUAGGGAAGAACAUAUGUGUAAGUAACUGUGCACAUCUGGACGGUACCUAAUCAGAAAGCCACGGCUAACUACGU